UGCCAAGAAGCAAUGUGUCUAUGUUACAAAA
rnacentral:piRNA from 1 species